AGGGUUUUGGCCAUUUUCCCGGGGCCCGGCGUGAGGAAGACGGCGGAGGAAGGCCCCGUGGCGGUCUGCGUGCGAGUCCGGCGCUCAGCAGCAGAUCGUGUCUUUCAUAGUAAUGAAACUACUAAAAAUAUGUAUGAAGAAAUAGCAGCACCAAUCAUCGAUUCUGCCAUACAAGGCUACAAUGUUUCCUGAUAGGGAAUUUCUCUUGCAUGUGUCUUACAUGGAGAUAUACAAUGAAACCUUUAAUAAUUCGAGAAGAUGUCAAUAGGAAUGUGUAUGUUGCUGAUCUCACAGAAGUGGUUUAUACAUCAGAAAUGGCUUUGAAAUGGAUCACAAAGGGAGACAGAACAGCCAUUAUGGAAAAACAAAAAUGAAUCAGAGAAGAAGUUGUUCUCAUACAAUUUUUAAGAUGAUUUUUGAAAGCAGAGAGAUGGAUGAGCCUUCUAAUUGUGAAGGGUCUGUGAAGGUGUCCCAUUUGGCAGUGAAAGAGCUGCUCAAAUGGAAGCUGAAGGCGAGUGCGGCGCGACAAGUGGUGCCGAAACCCGG